GACGAACGCUGGCGGCGUGCUUAACACAUGCAAGUCGAACGAUGAAAGCAGGAGCUUGCUUUUGCUGGAUUAGUGGCGAACGGGUGAGUAACACGUGAGUAACCUGCCCUUGACUCUGGGAUAAGCGUUGGAAACGACGUCUAAUACCGGAUACGAGCUAGGACCGCAUGGUCACUAGUUGGAAAGAAUUUCGGUCAAGGAUGGACUCGCGGCCUAUCAGCUAGUUGGUGAGGUAACGGCCCACCAAGGCGGCGACGGGUAGCCGGCCUGAGAGGGUGACCGGCCACACUGGGACUGAGACACGGCCCAGACUCCUACGGGAGGCAGCAGUGGGGAAUAUUGCACAAUGGGCGCAAGCCUGAUGCAGCAACGCCGCGUGAGGGACGACGGCCUUCGGGUUGUAAACCUCUUUUAGCAGGGAAGAAGCGAAAGUGACGGUACCUGCAGAAAAAGCACCGGCUAACUACGU
rnacentral:rRNA from 1 species